rnacentral:rRNA from 1 species
GAUGAACGCUGGCGGCGUGCUUAACACAUGCAAGUCGAACGAUAAAUCUAUACGGAAACCUUCUUGCGGAAGCCUUCUUUUCGACUGGCGGACUGUUCAUUAACGCGUGGUUAACCUUCCUCAUACACGUGGAUAACAUUUGGAAACUACUGUUAAUACCGCAUAAGACCACACCAUCGCAUUAUGCGGGUUUAAAAACUCCGUUGGUAUGAGAUGGACCCGCAUUCGAUUAGCCAGUUGGCGGGGUAACGGCCCACCAAAGCGACGAUCGAUAGACGAUAUGAGAGGAUGACCGGCCACAUUGGGACUGAGACACGGCACAAAAUACUAGGGGAGGCAGCAGUGGGGAAUAUUGCACAAUGGGGGAAAUCAUGAUGAAGCGACGCCGGGUGAGUGAAGAAGUAGUUAGGUAAGAAAAGCACUAUAAGAAGGGAAGAAAAUGACGGUACCUGAGGAAGAAGCACCGGCUAACUACGUG